UGUGUUGUGCUGCUGAGUUGUUUUUCAAACGCGAGCGAGUUCGCGUCACGACGGCUUCACGCUGCAACAGACGUCCGCGAGUUUGUGAAGUUUGUGCGUUGCGGGUUGAUUGAAUCAGGGAUAAGGCAGCGAAGAAAAACGAACCACAGCCCAAUCAAGUUAAUCAUCGCUGCAGUUAGUACGGUAGUGAGAAAAUCGUCACUGUUUCUACAUAAAUAAUUUGCCGAUGUUCGUUCGAAGCUGGUGAAAAUGAUUAGUGCCAUUGUUUCGCGAAUAGUGAUACUAUUAUUCGGCACACUCUAUCCCGCCUAUGCAUCAUAUAAGGCCGUCAGGACCAAAAAUGUCAAGGAAUAUGUCAAAUGGAUGAUGUACUGGAUUGUGUUUGCGUUUUUCACCUGCAUCGAAACGUUCACCGACAUCCUGCUGUCGUGGUUUCCGUUCUACUAUGAAAUCAAAGUCAUCCUCGUCCUAUGGCUGCUGUCGCCGGCGACGCGUGGCAGCUCAACACUCUACCGAAAGUUCGUACAUCCGAUGCUGACGCGUCGCGAGCAGGAAAUCGAUGACUAUAUAAACCAAGCUAAAGAAAAAGGCUACACCGCCGUACUGCAGCUAGGUUCCAAAGGUGUUAACUAUGCCACGAACGUCAUCAUGCAAACCGCAAUCAAGGGUGGAGGCGGUCUGGUGCAGACGCUGCGCAAAAGCUACAGCUUGAGCGACCUCUCGGAACCGGACGCGCAGCGCACCCAGGAGGAGAUGGACGAGUUGACCCGGCCUCAGCGGGUAUUGCGCUCGAAGAGCACCCGGUCCGCUUCCGGUGGUCGCCAUGUGGAAAUGUAUUUCCCUGAAGUGGAACUAGCUGGGACACCACACCGCAAUCCACCGCCGUAUAACUAUAUUCGGUCCUCCGACGAUAUCAGUUCCGGAUAUUCGAGCGCAGAGCCUGGAUUGAGCCGAACGGCUUCGAUGAGUAACACCGCAAGGCCACGUGUCAAGUCUAAAACACGAGAGGAUGGUGAUGACGUUUUCUUUGACGGGAGAGAAACAGAUCAAUACUAUGGCAGUGGUUCUCAGUUUUCCCCAUCCGCUACUCUGUAUGAAAUUCCCCCCAGUCCUCUCCCGGCCAUCACCCAAGCCAAUGUGGUUUUUGUUGAUUCGAACCGUCAGCCUAUUUUCUCACAGCAUCCCGCUUCGGUUCCAAGCUCGCCGCAAUCGAUGCCACCGGAGCUAGAGCAGAAAUAUGAACUGUUUUUGCAGUGGAUGGAAUCUCAAAAACGAGCCGAACAAGAACCGGCUUCAAACGAAAAUAAAACCGUACCGAAAGAAUGUACACAAGAAUCUAGUGAAUUAGAAAAUCUUCCGAGAGAAAUUUUUGUGGAUGAAAACGAAGUUUCACAGAUAGAUUCUUCGAAGGCCUAUUCAACCCUAGAUGAAGAAAUUGAGCCGUCGGAAGAAAGCCUUAUUGAGGAUGCGUUUCGCGAUACAAUUUCAUUAUCUAGCGAGGACGAAUUUUUGGAAGUAUCACCUGACGAUGAAGUGAUCGAAAAGACAACCGAAGCGGAAGCUUCUGAAUCUGCUAACGACGUCCAAGCUAUUGAAGCUAUCCCAACCGUGGUAGAUUCAAUGGAAACACAAGAACCUCCCACUUUUGCUGAUGAUCCGGCUUUCAAAGAAAAGCUCCACAUAUCAGAAGAUGAAUCAACGUCGGAUGAUUCUAAAUUGGUUCUUGAUAAAAAGAUCGAUUCAAAAGAACAAUCUGUUGCUGAUGACCAAUCCAUUGUAAAACUCGACCAUCUUAAUGUAUUCACAUGGAACCUAAACUCGUCCAGCUCCUCGUUGGCGGUCUCCGAUGCUGGCAGUCAUGCCGACGAACGUCCAGCCAAAAAGCCACAAUCCCAUGGCAAGCGCAAGGCUCCAUCGGUUCCGAUUGCAUUUAAGCCUGAAAGUUUUGUUCCGUCCAUUACUGAUGCACCGGUUCCACAAAUACCCGCACGAACCCCAAAGCCAGAGCAAGCGAUGAAAGUAAGUGGUACUUCCGGUGGUGAAUCUUUGUUCGAUAAAGAGAAAGACAAAAAGCACAAAACGAAGUUUAUGAGUUCUCUCACUGGGAUCUUUAAGCAUGAUGGUCCAUCAACUUCCGCCUCGGGCGAGCCGCCCCGAAGUGUAGAUCCUUUACUGCCUAAGGAGACAGAGAUUUGAGCUCGGUGUUCCAUUUUCCCCCUCUUUUUCCAUUGUCGCUCAAGUUGAGAUCCACUGCCUGUGCCCGCACAGAAUCAUUUUUGUUGGUGAUUUUCCGUUCAAUUAUUUUCCCUGAUGCAGUGAAAUAAAGAAAUUCGCUAUCUGCUUAGGCUGUCAUAUGCAACUACUAUAAAAGCCCUACAUUAGAACCACCCAUCAGCACCUUCAUUGCACUUGUCGUAAAUGAAAUGUAUAACCAGUAAUCGUACCCAGUUAUGGCUGAA